CCCCCUGUAGCUCAGUUGGUAGAGCAUGGUGUUUGCAACGCCAGGGUUGUGGGUUCGAUUCCCACGGGGGGC
rfam:Salmo salar isolate Sally breed double haploid chromosome ssa01, whole genome shotgun sequence.